rnacentral:rRNA from 1 species
AUUGAACGCUGGCGGCAUGCUUUACACAUGCAAGUCGAACGGUAACAGGCCGCAAGGUGCUGACGAGUGGCGAACGGGUGAGUAAUGCAUCGGAACGUGCCCAGUCGUGGGGGAUAACUGCUCGAAAGAGCAGCUAAUACCGCAUACGAUCUAUGGAUGAAAGCGGGGGACCGUAAGGCCUCGCGCGAUUGGAGCGGCCGAUGUCAGAUUAGGUAGUUGGUGGGGUAAAGGCUCACCAAGCCAACGAUCUGUAGCUGGUCUGAGAGGACGACCGGCCACACUGGGACUGAGACACGGCCCAGACUCCUACGGGAGGCAGCAGUGGGGAAUUUUGGACAAUGGGGGCAACCCUGAUCCAGCAAUGCCGCGUGCAGGAAGAAGGCCUUCGGGUUGUAAACUGCUUUUGUACGGAACGAAACGGUCUGGGUUAAUACCCUGGGCUAAUGACGGUACCGUAAGAAUAAGCACCGGCUAACUACGUGCCAGCAGCCGCAGUAAUAC